rnacentral:lncRNA from 1 species
GCAUCUGAGGCGUGGCGCAGCUGGGAGCAAAGCACAGGUCUGCCUGGACAAUAUUGGGUCACCUGUCAUCUCCAGAGGACCUGGGAAAGUGAAUCUUUAUUCAGUAUCUAUUCUGGGAUGUGAGCUUGGUCAAUCAGGAGGAAAGAGAAGGGGACCUGUGGAUGGACACUCAAGAGGCGGCUCCAGAAAAAGGCUGUACAAGCACGGCGCCAACAUCUGUUCAGCUUCUGGGGAGGCAUCAGGAAGCUUACGAUCAUGGUGGAAGGUGAAGCAGGAGCAGGCACGUUGUAUGAUAGAAUUUCCGUCUGUCUCCCAGGCUGGAGUGCAGUGGCACGAUCUCGACUCACUGCAACCUCCACCUCCUGGAUUCAAGUGAUUCUCCUGCCUCAGCCCCCUGCGUAGCUGGGAUUACAGGUGCCCACCACCAUGCCUGGCUAAUUUUUGUAUUUUUAGUAGAAACGGGGUUUCACCAUAUUGACCAGGCUGGUCUCCAACCCCUGACCUCAAGUGAUCCAACGACCUCGGCCUCCCAAAAUGUUGGGAUGACAGGCAUGAGCCACAGUGCCCAGCCAGUUUUCCAAUUGGAAACGGCCACCUGAAACUUUUUUUAAUGACUGUGAAAUAUGACUUGUCAUUAAAUGAUCAGAUUUUAAAAGACCUAGAAAACUCAAAAGAGGCACUCUCCCUCUUCCUUCUAUGACAAGGACCCUGAUUCGACACGGCUGCCCAUGUUCCCAGCUCCAGGAGAUAAACGAAGUCAAACCUAAGCCACUCAUGACAAAUUUGUCUCCUGUGUAAUUGGUCUAGGCACAAGCACAUGACCCAUUUAUAGACAAUGAGACAGGUGGGACGUCUUAAAGCACUGGAAAUAUUUUUCUCCUUGACACAUAGAAAGUAGUCACACUUGGUAAAGACCUUCAACUGCGCUCACAUUCUGUCCUGCUUUCUGGGGACCACAUGAUGGUGCCUGAAUCAGAGGCAGCCACCUAGGGACCAUGAACGACUAAGCCUUAAAUAAGCUAAAGAAGGCAGGAGAGGAUGGAAAAAGACCUCCAGGAAUUUCCAAGUCAACCCUGGGAGUGUCCACCAUGGUAGGCUAAACAAUGGCCUAUCAAAGAUGCCCAUGUUCUAAUUCCCAGGACUGCUAGGUCACUCCCUACAUAUAAUUGAACCUCUGUGGAAUUGAAGGAUCCAUGGAAGAAAGAUGAAAACCGUUUGUUUAUGUAAAAGACAGAGCAAGUAUACUAAAAUCACAGAGCGGUCACUUAAUAGUAGGUUUUGAAAACUUAAUUUGCAUGGGAAAAUACUAUACACAGUUUUAAAAUCAAAUUGAUACUGUCUUGGUGCCAUUUUAAAAAAUCAGAACAAAAUUCUAAAUUUGCAGAUCUGGUAGCUCUGUAAGUAUGGUUUUAUGGUAGAGUAUGGUUUUUUUUAUUCCAUAUUUUAAAAACAAUAGAUAAAUAAGCUUUCUGCAGUCUAUAUGCUGAAUUACAUUAAUAGGCACGUAUAUGUUGUUUACAUUAUAAUUACAUUUCCCA